UACGGGGGGAGCAAGCGUUGUUCGGAUUUACUGGGCGUAAAGGGCGCGUAGGCGGCGCAACAAGUCACUUGUGAAAUCUCCGGGCUUAACCCGGAGCGGCCAAGUGAUACUGUCGUGCUAGAGUGCGGAAGGGGCUACUGGAAUUCUCGGUGUAGCGGUGAAAUGCGUAGAUAUCGAGAGGAACACCUGCGGCGAAGGCGGGUAGCUGGGCCGACACUGACGCUGAUGCGCGAAAGCCAGGGAGCGAAGCGGG
rnacentral:rRNA from 1 species